rnacentral:sRNA from 1 species
AAUAUAGGAACUUAGUCUAAGAAUAUCGCAUACUAAGAUAACGACUGAGUGACCAACAUCGUGUUGA